CUACGGGGGGCUCCAGUGGGGAAUAUUGCACAAUGGAGGAAACUCUCAUGCAGCAACGCCGCGUGGAGGAUGACACUUUUCGGAGCGUAAACUCCUUUUAUAUAGGAAGAAGAUGACGGUACUAUAUGAAUAAGCGCCGGCUAACUCCGUGCCAGCAGCCGCGGUAAUACGGAGGGCGCAAGCGUUACUCGGAAUCACUGGGCGUAAAGAGCGUGUAGGCGGAUUAAAAAGUCAGAAGUGAAAUCCUAUAGCCUAACUAUAGAACUGCUUCUGAAACUCUUAAUCUAGAAUAUGGGAGAGGUAGAUGGAAUUUCUGGUGUAGGGGUAAAAUCCGUAGAGAUCAGAAGGAAUACCGAUUGCGAAGGCGAUCUACUAGAGCAUUAUUGACGCUGAGACGCGAAAGCGUGGGGAGCAAACAGGAUUAGAUACCCGGGUAGUC
rnacentral:rRNA from 1 species